rnacentral:rRNA from 1 species
CCGGGUGAGUAACACGUAUGCAACCUGCCUGCCACAGCCGGAUAAUCGGGAGAAAUUCCGUCUAAUACGGCAUAAUGCAUCGACGGGACAUCCUGUUGGUGCCAAAGGUUGAUUCCGGUGGCGGAUGGGCAUGCGUCGCAUUAGUUAGUUGGCGGUGUAACGGACCACCAAGACGACGAUGCGUAGGGGUUCUGAGAGGAAGGUCCCCCACACUGGUACUGAGACACGGACCAGACUCCUACGGAAGGCAGCAG